UGAUCUGUGUUGGGAGGAAGAAUUCUUUUGAGUACCAAUUCACCAACUUGAUACUCCCGAGGGCGCACUUUCUGAUCAAACGCUCUCUUCAUUCGUCUCUGAUAUAGUUGGCCAUGGCAUAUAGCUGUCAGUCUCUUUUCCUCGACUAGGCUCAGCUGAUUGUAUCGAGAACGGAUCCAUUCUGCUUCGUCAAGCUUAACAUCCAUCAGGACUGUCGCAACCUGAAAAAUACAGUGCGAAAAAAAAC
rnacentral:lncRNA from 1 species